rnacentral:lncRNA from 1 species
UUACUUUUGUGAGCUCACGCUCUUUGUUCACAGUAAUAACGCAGGUUAUUUGUGUUGACCAGUGCCCCCCGCAGGCCGCAGCGAGCUCGACGAGCUGCAGGAGGAGGUGCUGAGGAGGGCGAGAGAGGAGGAGCAGCAGCGACGGCAGGAGAAAGAGAGGGAGGCGGCACUCGGCUUCAACCCAAGACCCAGCAAGUACCUCGACCUGGACCAGCUGCAGAUCCAGGGUAAAAGCGACAGCAUCGAGAGGUGUGUGUCGGAGGCUGAGCUCCUGCUAGACCAGUCGGUUCGUCUGGAGCAGGCAGGCGAGGUCACAGCGGCACUGUCGGCAGUCAACGAAGCAGUCUCUAAACUGCGGCCCGCAACAGCUGAGGGCGGAGCUAAUAGUCACAGCCGGUUGCAGCGCUGCAUGAGGAGAGCCCGCAGCCUGCAGCAACGCAUGCAACUGCAGCAGCAGCAGCAACAGCAGGACUCUCAGGCAGGCAAACAGCAACUACAACAACCACAGCAACAACAGGAGGAGAAGCAGCAGCAGCUCCUGGAACAGCCCAGUGAAAAGCCUGUCUCGCUCCAAAUACUUCUGACGGACAAACCUGGCGACCAGUCAGCUGCCUCUCAGGACCCACAGGCCCCACCUUUAUCCCCUUGUCUGGUUAAGCCCCUCCCUCCAGUGUUGGACCCUGCCUCCAGUGCCGGGGUUCCAGCAGGUCCACUCAGGGAGGACAGCAGGACCGGGAGCCCCCUGUCUACCACUGAGUCUCUCCCUGCUCUCUGCGUGGACUCCUGGGAUCAGAACCCUGUGGUCCCACCACCUCCACCUGAGGCAGACUGCACACCCCAGUGGGCUAAUACGUGCCCUGUCUCCAUCCCAGCACAGGCCCUGCCCCCACCCAGUUUGCAUGCAACCCCCUCACCUGUCGACAGGUGUUGUCGAUGAUGCAUGAAGAGCUGUUUUACGCCAAGCGUUCACAAACCACAUCACCUGGGUCCAGCCCCACAAUAGCCCCACCCCCUCCCACUAGAAACUGGUCCUGUUUAAAUGUGGACCCACUUGAUGAGGAUGUUGAUUCUCCUGGUCCACCAGUGUACUCGCCCCCAGACUCACCCUGCAAUGCCCCCCUGCCGCCUGCGAGCCGGUCUGGGUGGGCCUCAUCUCCACCCCUCAGCCAGGACUACAAAGCGGCCCUGCCUGUGGAGCGGCUGGGCGGAAAACGUCAACAGAUACUACGGCUCCCAGAAUGCAACAGGAGGAGGAGGCGGAGCGGCGCCGCUUGGCGAGGAGGUGUCCGAGCUGGACUCGUUGUACCAGGCCAGUCUAAUGGCUCCCAGCAUGCAAAGGGGCAACCGGGGGAGUCGGUCCUCAGCCGACCAGCAACAAACCAGGUAGGAAGUGCAGGAAACACCUGUGAGCUACAGGUGACUGGGUCACAGGUCACGUUCGUCAUCAGCUGAAUGUUUUCUACUUUGAGAGAAGCAGAAUUUAGUUCUGUGGAUGUUCCAUUUUUAGGGAUGUGUUAACUAGUUGUCUGUGUGUAGGUGGGAGGAGAAUGCUGCCAGGAUCCGGACGAUCCAAAACACCCACAGCAGAGAUAGAGCGACACGCCUACAGAACGCCGGUUACACCUGUGCACAAGGUAAAGCUGACGAUGAGUCAGUUUACGAGAAUGAACUCUAUA